rnacentral:lncRNA from 1 species
AAUGAUUUGACAACUAAAUAACAUUUUCCUAUUAUUUCUCCCUCUUCCCAAGUUCUUCUUCUUUAUUUACUUAAAGAAAUAAAACCCUCUGUAACCAGCAACACACCGUGGAUUCCGACAAGGAUAAGCCCAAAGACCACCACAUCCAUCAGAAAAUCCAGUAACAACAAUCAUAUUAAUUUCAACUCCUUAACUACAACAUUGACAUUAUAAUAGAAAUAAUAAAUACUUACAUGCUCGUCUGCACCCAAAAUAUGUCCCGACCACCAUGACCCAUUCCACUUGCUAACACAAACCAACCCACCCAUAGACUCAUUAAUGCCCAUUAUUUUUGCCUCACCAGAAAUCUCCAUCUCUUCACCAGCACCCAUUAAAACAAUCUCCAAAUAUAAUCUCAACUAAGAAAAGCCCCAAUUUCAGAAAACUCGGAAAAGCCCCAAUUCUAUCUCUGACAAAUGAAAAAGAUGAAAACUCAGAAAAGUCCCAAUUUCAUCUCUGACAAAUGAAAAAGAUGAAAACACAGAAAAACUCCAAUUUCAUCUCUGACAAAUGAAAAAAAUGAAAACUCCAAAAAAUUAAAUUGUACUCUUAUAAAGAGCUUCGAAUUGCCACUGAUGGCUUUAGCGCAUCUAAUAAAAUUGGUAAGGGAGGUUUUGGUUCCGUUUACAAGGUAACUGCACAUUUUUUUUUAUUGAUAUUUAAAGAUGUAUUUAUUUAAUACCAUCAUUGUUCACAUAUCUCUAAACUAAUUUAAAUAUGUCAGGGGAAGCUAAAAGAUGCAUCCCACCUUGGUGGCUAAGUCAGGGGUACAAGAGUUCACCCAUUCCACCUGCGAACCCAAACCAACCCACCAGAAAUCUCCAUCUCUUUAGCAGCACCCAUUGAAACAAUCUUCAAAUAUAAUCUCAACUAAGAAAAGCCCCAAUUUCAGAAAACUCGGAAAAACCCCAAUUUCAUCUCUGACAAAUAAAAAAGAUGAAAACUCAUCAAGCCUUAAUUUCAUCUCUGACAAAUGGAAAAAAUGAAAACUCGGAAAAGCCAUGAAGCCAAAAACUAGAAAGUUUGAAGAUGAAGGCCGCCGUUGGGGCGGAGGAACUGACCGUAUCGAGUCCCGAGCUUCACCUUUAUGACCAUCUCGAAUGGGUUCCCAAUCGAGGGAGGAAUCGAGGCGGCGGGGGAGAGUUUGGAGGACUUUCUGUCCGGUCAUGCCAAGGAGAAACGGGUGGUUAGAGGCGGUGAGGUACUUGCCGUAGAACUCUGGAGGCGGAAGAAGAGAAGAUGAAGAAAAAAUGAGAAGAAAGAGAGAGAAAGAGAGAAGGUUUUAAUGAAAAAAUUAUAAAUAAAAUGAAUUAAAAUAUUUAUUUUAAUUAUUUUUUGCCACA